rnacentral:misc_RNA from 1 species
GGAGAUGUUUAAAUGUUUAGGCCGCCUUUCAAAGGGCAGCAACCUGAAUUAAUAUCAAGGAAAAUUCUUGCUUGCUACAAUGUUGGGAACAGAAAACGAGAAGAACAACAAGAGCAAAAGACAACUCAAAUCAACUGACAAAGAACCCAGCAAUCCAAAGUUAUGGCCGAAUCUUCCCCAGCAACUCAUCUACCUCAUAGCAAGAAAGUUCUCACUAAUGCAAGAAAUUUGUUCAAAGGAAGUGACUAAAUCAUGGAGAGCAGAACCAAGCAAAUGCAGGCCAAAUCCCACACCACCAUGGCUUGAACUCUCCAGCGAUUAUGGAAGUCACCAUAACCACAAGGAACCUUACACUUUCAACAUACCAUUUAGAAGGGGUUUCUCCUGGUACUGGAGAGGAGAAAGACCUGCACUUCCAGCCUAUCAUUUUCUUGGAUGCUCCCAUGGUCUAGUGGCAAAAGGAG